rnacentral:rRNA from 1 species
CACGAACCGUACGAACGUUAUUCGGAAUUACUGGGCUUAAAGGGUUUGUAGGCGGCCUUAUAAGUCAGGUGUGAAAGCCCUCGGCUCAACCGAGGAAUAGCGCUUGAUACUGUAAGGCUUGAGGGAGACAGGGGUAAGCGGAACUGAUGGUGGAGCGGUGAAAUGCGUUGACAUCAUCAGGAACACCGGUGGCGAAAGCGGCUUACUGGGUCUCUUCUGACGCUGAGGAACGAAAGCUAGGGUAGCGAACGGG